CCUACGGGAGGCAGCAGUGGGGAAUAUUGCACAAUGGGGGAAACCCUGAUGCAGCGACGCCGCGUGUGUGAAGAAGUAAUUCGUUAUGUAAAGUACUAUCAGCCGGGAAGAAAAUGACGGUAUCUGAGUAAGUAGCCCCGGCUAACUACGUGCCAGCAGCCGCGGGAAUACGUAGGGGGCAAGCGUUCUCCGGAUUUACUGGGGGGAAAGGGAGCGUAGACGGCAGUGCAAGCCUGGAGUGAAAGGCGGGGGCUCAACCCCCGGACUGCUCUGGAAACUGUACGGCUGGAGUGCAGGAGAGGUGAGUAGAAUUCCUAGUGUAGCGGUGAAAUGCGUAGAUAUUAGGAGGAACACCAGUGGCGAAGGCGGCUUACUGGACUAUAACUGACGUUGAGGCUCGAAAGCGUGGGGAGCAAACAGGAUUAGAUACCCGUGUAGUC
rnacentral:rRNA from 1 species